UACGUAGGGGGCAAGCGUUGUCCGGAUUCAUUGGGCGUAAAGAGCGUGUAGGCGGCCAGGUAGGUCGGUUGUGAAAACUGGAGGCUCAACCUUCAGAGGUCGACCGAAACCAUCUGGCUAGAGUCCGGAAGAGGAGAGUGGAAUUCCUGGUGUAGCGGUGAAAUGCGCAGAUAUCAGGAAGAACACCCGUGGCGAAGGCGGCUCUCAGGGACGGUACUGACGCUGAGACGCGAAAGCGUGGGGAGCGAACAGG
rnacentral:rRNA from 1 species